AUUGAACGCUGGCGGCAGGCCUAACACGUGCAAGUCGAGCGGAUGAAGGGAGCUUGCUCCUGGAUUCAGCGGCGGACGGGUGAGUAAUGCCUAGGAAUCUGCCUGGUAGUGGGGGAUAACGUCCGGAAACGGGCGCUAAUACCGCAUACGUCCUGAGGGAGAAAGUGGGGGAUCUUCGGACCUCACGCUAUCAGAUGAGCCUAGGUCGGAUUAGCUAGUCGGUGGGGUAAAGGCCUACCAAGGCGACGAUCCGUAACUGGUCUGAGAGGAUGAUCAGUCACACUGGAACUGAGACACGGUCCAGACUCCUACGGGAGGCAGCAGUGGGGAAUAUUGGACAAUGGGCGAAAGCCUGAUCCAGCCAUGCCGCGUGUGUGAAGAAGGUCUUCGGAUUGUAAAGCACUUUAAGUUGGGAGGAAGGGCAGUAAGUUAAUACCUUGCUGUUUUGACGUUACCAACAGAAUAAGCACCGGCUAACUUCGUG
rnacentral:rRNA from 1 species